rnacentral:lncRNA from 10 species
GUGAUGUGAUGCCUGAGGUUGGAGGAGGAGUGAUACAGAGGUUUGACCGAGGAGGAAAGAAUGGCAGUUCCACAUCAUGACUGUCAACUGAGCAUCUCAGCUAAGCCAUGUAACAGGUGAACUGGAAGUGUCUUUCCUGGAUGAAUGUCAGAAGGACAGCUGAACUGUGAGCCCUGGGAUGAAGUCACCUACAGCCCUAAGACCUGAAAUGCACAUCUCAGCAGAAGCCUGACUGCAGCCGUUAUCCUUGCUGUGGAGAUGAACCAAAGGCCCAAGCGUGAGUGACUUCAAGAUGAAACUCAGGAGCUGAGGCUCAGUGUGGACAUUAAAUUUCCGAUGCCAGAUAAGAAAUCAAAUUCUAAUUCUUCACAAAAUUACUGUCUUCAAUUUCCGUUGGCAUAUCUAAGAAAUACUGGACUGUUACUAAUUGGCCCCUUAGCUCUGUGUCCUGGAACAGAAGAAAUUAAGUUCAGGAAAUAUUUCUGUUGCAGGCUAUCUAGAAACUUAAAAAAAAAAAAAAAAAAAAAAAGCCUCCCUUAGUAACUUUUACUGAUAGCCAUUGAUGUAGGAAAGAAAAUCUAUAUUUAGAGAACAUACUUUUAAAAUCAGCUUUCUUUUCAAUAAAAUGCCUUCAAUUCCUAUGUUUUUCAAUUAGUUCAGAGUCUAAGAACAAACAUUUACUGAAUGCUUAUGGGAUAGAAAGCAUAGUACUAAAUGCGGUGGGUGAUUUAAAAUAAUUGAUGUGUAGUAGAACUUGUUACUGAAAGUGUCAUACACAGACCGACAACAUUAGCAUCACUUGGGAGCUUCUUAGAACUACAGAUCUCAGGCCUUAAUUUAGGUCUACUAAGCCAUUUUGAUAACAUCUCUAGGGGAUCUGUAUGAAUAUUAAAGAUUGAGAAAUAUUGCAAUAGAAGAUGUGGUCUUGCCUUCUCAAAGCAGCUGGAAAAGCACCAUGUACAUAUAUGAAAACGUAAAUCAUAUUAAAAAUUAGGGAUAGACCAAAACAUGGUUCCUCUUCACAGGAAUCUUACAUUUAUUAGAGACAAAUGAAUGUGACAAGUUUAAUAAUUACCUUAUAUCAAGUUAUCCAAACCUAGAAACUGAAAAAGAGAUUCGAGACUCUUGACUUACUGAGAGAAGCUCUCAGGAGAAGAAAAAUAAAAGUGAGAGAAAGAAAAGAGAAAAGAAAGCUGAUUUUAAAAGUAUGUUCUCUAAAUAUAGAUGGGGCAGGAGAGGAGCGGAAUGA